rnacentral:rRNA from 1 species
GACAGAGGGUGCAAACGUUGUUCGGAAUCACUGGGCAUAAAGCGCACGUAGGCGGCUGACUAAGUCGGAUGUGAAAUCCCUCGGCUUAACCGGGGAACUGCGUCCGAUACUGGUCGGCUUGAGAACGGUAGGGGUGAGCGGAACUCCAGGUGGAGCGGUGAAAUGCGUAGAUAUCUGGAGGAACACCGGUGGCGAAAGCGGCUCACUGGACCGUCACUGACGCUGAGGUGCGAAAGCUAGGGUAGCAAACGGG